AGGCUGAGGCAGGACAAUCACUUGAACCCGGGAGGCGGAGGUUUCAGUGAGCCAAGAUCACUCCAUUGCAUUCCAGCCUGAGUGACAGAGCAAGACUCUGUUUAAAAAAGACAACGAAAACCGAAAAACAAAGAACAGGUGGAGUCUACUGACUUGCAUGAGUCAGGUAAUUCAUUGACCGGGGCUGGUCAAAAAGAUGGGUUGAUCCUUACUGUGGAAGCUCUCAGCUGCCCUGCAAUACUUUGGAAAUAAACCAGGCAAAACACUGCUCAGUGUGCUGCACUCCAGACACAAACAGGAAGCUGCUCUUUCUCUGCUUCCCUCCCCCACAAUCAGACUCUUGUAACUCUCUUUUCUUCUUUUUCUAAAAUGAAUCUGGGAGUUUCCUUUAGCCCCUGUUUUGUGGUCGCCUCCCAUACACGUUUUAUCUGUCCGUGGCAUUUUCUUUUAUUUAUUGAAAGCACCGUGUCUUAGAUCAAGUCUUGAGAAACAGAACCUGAGACAAACAUGAAUGUGGUUAAUUGAACGAGCGCUGUGCAGGAAAAGCUGUACUGGAGAGAGGUAAGCGGACAGAUACGGGGAAGAGCUGGGCCCAGCAAAGAUGAGGUCUCAAGUAAAGCUUAUGUUUGGCUUAAUCCACCGGGGACGGUUCUGGAACAUAAGCCACACCGCAGAGCUGUGAUGUCACACCUUGAGGCGAGGGCCUUGCCUCCUGGUAUCAGUCAGUCCUGGCUGUGGGGAGCAAGGUGGCUCCACUCAGUGCAAGGCCAUCCUGGGCAAGGGGCAGCCCCCCUCACCGCAGUGGCCUGGCAGUGGGGCCCUGGGUCCGGCACAGCUCCUCCUUCGCACAGUGCUGUCUGCUCGCCCGGUGUCUUUCAUGCCGUUUCCCACCAACUUCCCUCCUCUGCCUCCUGCUCUGCAUUGCACAGUGCAGCGAGGUUGCCAAUUCCAUAGUUGUAGCGGCUGUGGGGGAAGGGGCAGGCGGGACAGGGGAGGCAGCCAUCUAACUUUUGUCCUGACUCACGCAGGCCUGGCCUGGUGUUCAGAACACAAAUGUGAAAAAUCAGACCGGGAAGAUCACGGGAGGCAGGAAGCAUCUGGUUUGCAGGUAGGGAAGUGACAGACCCCGCGGAUGCCAUGCACAAGGGUACACAGUGGAGUGGGGAUGAAAUCAGGGCGGAAGUGCAGGGCUCCUGAGCCCGGGGCUGGGGCUGUUUCCCCAACUGUCCGCUGCCUCUGCUGCCUCCUGAGAUCGUCUCCUUCUGCUGUCUGCCCGCUGGAACUUAUUUUUAGUUUUAAUUUUUUCGAGACAGGGUUUUAAUCUGUCACCUGGGCUGGAGUGUAGUGUCGUGAUCAGGGCUGACUGCAGCUUCAACCUCUCGGGCUCAAGUGAUCCUCCCACCUUAGUUUCCCAAACAACCAGGACUACAGAUGCAUGCCACCAAGCCUGCCUAAUUUAUUUUUUUAUUUUUCAAUUUUUAGUAGAAAUUUAAAAAUCCCCCAGUGUGGCUGAUUGGCUGACAGCCACACUGAAGCUUUAUUCCUGCCUCUCCUCACUCAGCAAUCCUCAUUCCUCAAAUACCUCUUCUCCCUGUUGUCCAAAUGUCCCCUGUACUUCAAGACCCAUAGGUCACAUCCUCCAAGAAAUCUUCCCAGUCCACACUUAUCCUUCUUUUAAAUCAGGGGUGCACACCCUGGUUACAUGUUACAAUCACCUAGGAAGCUUUAAAAAAUAAGAUUAGGGGUUAGGGAGAGGGGACCAGACCAGCUGAAUCAGACUCUCUGAAAAUAGGACCUGGGCAUUUGUAGUUUUUAAAGCUCCCAUGUCAUUCUAACAUAGCCAGGAUUGAGAAGUACCGUUCUAAGCAAAUAUUACAAAUAUGUCUUGCUUCCACACCCAUGGCUAUGUUUUGUUUGUUUGUUUGUUUUUGAGAAGGAGUCUCACUCUGUCACCCAGGCUGGAGUGCAGUGGCGUGAUCUCAGCUGACUGCAAUCUCCACCCAAGUUCAAGAGAUUCUUCUGCCUCAGCCUCCCACGUAGCUGGGACUACAGAGCAUACCAUAGCAGCUUGUGCCUGAGACCUCGACAAAUAUCUGGGGGAUAGAUUGGCUUGCAGAGCACAUUCUGCCUAUAGAAAUGAGUUAGCAAGUUUAGUCAGCCAUUGUAGAUUUCAAAGGGUGAGAAGCCUAGCCAGAGGUUAUAAUAUAGCAUGAUAUCCUCCUGGAAAUGGAAUUCUUCACUUGCGAUGCAUUUUAGGAGCCGCUGCUCUGUGUGAGCCACUCUGCUAGGUCCCAGCAUGCAUGAUAUUAUUCUACACAAAGAAUAAUAUCAGAGCUCACAGCCUAUGCAGGAAGUAAGCAAUUAGUUACAGCGUGAUGUGUACUGCAACCCAGGUAAGUACACAGUGUCAUGGAUGCUUCCAGGAGGAAGUCAUAGUCUGACCAGGAAGUUUGGGAAUACUUCUCAUAGGAAGCAACAAGCUACCUGGAAAGAUCUAGAAAGAUGAACAGUACCAGUGUAUUGAUUAGAAAUGCGUUCAGCAGCAAGUCAUAGAACACAUGACUAGUAAGGUUUAAACAAAUAGAAGGUUAUUUUCUCAUAUAAUAAGCCCAGAGGUAGGCACUAAAGGUGGUACAUUGGCUCAGUGGUGUUGGGACUAAGGUUUCUAAAAUUCUCUUGUCCUCUAAGACAUGGCUGCAGGUUGGCUGCAGCAGCUCCAGGCAUCGUGUCCACACUGAAAGGAGAAAGGGGGAGGCCAGCUAUGAUUUCCCCUUUUAUCAGGAAAGCAGAAACCUUCCUGUGGAUUUCUGCUUAUAUCCCACUAGCCAGAACUGGGUCAUGUGGCUAUCCUUAGCAGCAAGGGAGCCAGGAAAGAGAGGAUUUCACUUCUCCAGCUUCUUCUGUAUAUGGGAGGGCAGGUAGGUGAAGGGGGCUAGACUGAAUCCUGUGUGAGCCAACUAGCAGGCAGAACAUUUUGCAUAGAACUGCAUUUGCAAAAACAUGGAGCUGUGAAAGUGUGUGGAACAUUUACAGGCUAUUUAUUUAUUUAUUUAUUUAGAGACAGAUUCUUGCUUUGUCGCCCAGGCUAGAGUGCAGUGACACGAUCUUGGCUCACUGCAACCUCUGCUUCCUGGGUUCAAGCAAUUCUCCUGCCUCAGCAUCCCCAGUAGCUGGGAUUACAGGUGCCUGCCACCAUGCCUGGCUAAUUUUUGUAUUUUUAGUAGAGACGGGGUUUCACCAUGUUGGCCAGGCUGAUCUUGAACUCCUGACCUCAAGUGAUCCACCCGCCUCAGCCUCCCAAAGUGCUGGGAUUACAGGCGUGAGCCACCGCCCCCAGCCUACAAUCAAAAAAUUUAAUAUCAUCAAAUUACAGGGCAUGUGGCAGAGAAGUGUGGGCAGACAAGACACAGAGAAGUGGAGAUGAGACUCUUCAGACCCUUGAAUGACAUGUUGAAGAGCUUGGAAUUUUCUUAUAGAACGUAGGUAAUCAAUAGAGAGGUUUCAUCCGAGGAAUGAUAAAAAUCCAUUUGGGAAACAGAGGCGGUGUGGAGGAUGGGUCAAGAGAGAAUCAGAAGGCAGAUGAUUUACAGCAAUCCAGGCCAGAUAUCAGGAGGGCCUACUCUAAGAUUGCUUUUAGCAUAGCUACUGGGGAAGAGUCGGGCAGGAGAGCCCAGAGGCCCCGCAUGUGAUGGAAACAGCUGCCCAAACUGCAUCUUCAGGUAAAUAUGGCAGACCAUAGUUCCCCCUUCAUAAAGGCCUCUUGGGCGUGUUUCCUGGAAGGAAGAGGUGGGAGAUGUCGCCAUGCUCAGCACAUACGUGAGGUGUUGCAUUAGUCUCCUGGGGCUGCCGUAACAAAGUACCACAAAGCAGAUGGAAACAACAUGCAUUUUUCCCCCCACAGUUCUGGAAGGUGGAAGGCCAGGAUCAGGUGUCAGGAGGGUUGGUUUUUUCUGGGGGUUCUGAGAGAAUCUGAGGGGAAUUCCAUGGCUUUCUCCCAGCUUCUGGUAGUUGCUGGCAAUCCCUGGUGUUCCUGGGCCUGUAGACACGUCACCCCCAUCUCCGCCUCUGUUUUCAUGUGGCAUCCUCCCCGGUGCGUGUCUGUGUGCCCCAACCCCCUUGUCUUAUGAGGCCCACUCUAAUCCAACAGGACCUCGUCUUUACAUAAUCAGAUCUGCUAAGAUCCUGUUUCCAAAUAAGGCCAUGUUCACAGAUACCUAGGGUUAGGACUUGGACAUAUCUUUUGGGGGGACCCGAUUCAACUCACAACAGGUGUUUGAGGGCAGCUCUAGUUGAGAGUGUCAGAGAACCUCUGGCUUAAAGGAGGAACAGGGAGUCUAUCUGCUUGCAAUGUCUGAAGUAGAGUGGAGUGGCUUUACUGUCCUUGGUAGAGAGCAUGUCCUGCUUCAUUCUCAGGAAGGAUCUCACUGUGAGGUGGCUACGAUUACUCUCUGCCCACCCUGGUUGCAUCUGGCUUACAGAAGACAAUCCCAGAAGAAACAGUCUCCCCCAAAGUCCGCAGCAACCCUUCCACUAGGAGUCUACUCCUGCUUACACAAGGCCCAUGCUCACGCCUCACCCCACUGCUGUGUCCAGGGCUUCGUGGUAUCCUGAUGGGCUAGCGUGGGUCACACUCCCACCCUUUGAGCCAUGGGCCCACCUAGUCCAAAUCAUAACAACUGAACAGGAUGAUCACAGGUUGUGGAGAUGAAUCUGCCAAAGUGAUGCUAGGCAGUGCGCUUUCUUUUUUAUUUUUAAAAUAUUUUUUGCAUGUAUGUAUGUAUGUGAGACAGUCUCGCUCUGUCGUCCAGGCUGGAGUGCAGUGGCAAGAUCUCGGCUCACUGCAACCUCUGCCUCCUGGGUUCAAGCAGUUCUCCUGCCUCAGUCCCCCGAGCUGUGAUUACAGGCAUGUGCCACCACACCCGGGUAAUUUUUGUAUUUUUGUUAGAGAUGAGAAUUCACCAUGUUGGCCAUGCUGGUCUCCUGACUUCAAGUGAUCCGCCUGCCUCAGCCUCCCAAAGUGCUGGGAUUACAGGCGUGAGCCACCAUGUGCAGCCAGUAGUGCUCUUUCUUUACCUCUGCCCAAAUGAGGACAAGGAGAUGAAGCGUGGCUGAAAGCAUCAGCCUCUUCCCAGCUGUCCUGAUUGCAUGGGCCGCUUGUCCACUGGACAGGUACUUUUCCUGCCGGGCCUGCUCGUGUGGUUUGGACAGAUGCCCAACUGUCAGGCUCACUCUGUUCUGUUCAGGGAGCUGGCAUUUGCUCCAGUUUCCUCACCUGCCCACAGGGCAGGUGUGUGUCUGUGCGCCCCAACCCCCUUGUCUUAUGAGGCCCACUCUAAUCCAAAAGGACCUCAUCUUUACAUAAUCAGAUCUGCUACGAUACUAUUUCCAAAUAAGGCCAUGUUCACAGAUAUAUGAAUGGUAAGAGCCAGUGGGCCAGGUUGCCCAUGUGAGGGAGCCGGUCUCCGCACCUUGAAUUUCUCUACUGUUCUGGCCUCCGGGGCCAUGACAUUGAGGAUGGCUGGCCACUGGGCAUUGCUCCUUGCACCAUUUUCUCUGGGACUCCCUGAUACAUGUGAGGUUCUUCUUUCUCAGGCCUCUUUGAGGUGCAGGGACCCCCCCGCCCCCAUUGCCUAGUACUCCAAACUGGCCUAGGUCUACCUCUCCCAGCCCAAAUGUCCUGAGGUCCGUGACUGGAUUAUGACUUCAUAAACACCCUUCCCCCACCCUCACCACCACCACUUCCAGCAUCUGAGCUGGAAGACUGCCCGUGUCCUUCCAAUCCACUUCCCUUCCCUGUUGUUCAUCCUCACAUUUCUCUAACCACAGGCCAGCAGAGCUAGAAAAAACCCUAGGACAACUAGUCCAGCAACGGCGAAACAUUCAUUUUAACCUUAGUUCACAUGGUGCAGCCGCUACAGAAAACGGUAUGCGAGUUCCUCAAAAAAUGAAACAUAUGAUCCAGCAGUUUCACUUCUGGGUUUCUGGGUAUAUUCCCAAAAAAACUGAAAGCAGAAACUUAAAUAGCUGUUUGUACACCCACGCUUAUAGCAGCAUUAGUCACAAUAGCCAAAAGGUAGAAGAAGCCCAAGUGUAUAUCAACAGAUGCAUGGAGAAACAAAUGUGUAUACAUACAAUGGGUUAUUAUUCAGCUAUAAAAAAGGAAUGAGGCCAGGAUCAGUGGCUCACACCUGUUAUCCCAGCAUUUUGGGAGGCCAAGGUGGGCGGAUAACCUGAGGUCAGGAGUUCAAUACCGGCCUGGCCAACUUGGUGAAACCCCCGUCUCUACAAAAAUGCAAAAAUUAGCCGGGCAUGAUGGCAGGUACCUGUAAUUCCAGCUACUUGGGAGGCUGAGGCAGAAGAAUUGCUUGAACCACGGAGGCGGAGGUUGCAGUGAGCUGAGAUCGCACCAUUGCACUCCAGCCUGGUUGACAGAGCGAGACUCUGUCUCAAAAAAAAAAAAAAAAGGAAUGAAAUUCAGAUACAUGCUACAACAUGGAUCAACCUUGAAGACAUCAUACUAAGUAAAAUAAGCCAGUCACAAAAGGAUAAGCAGUAUAUGAUUCCACUUAUAUGAGGUACCUAAAGUAGUCUAAUUCAAAGACAGAAAGUAUAAUAGUGAUUACCACGGGUUGGAGGGAAGGAGAAGGGGAGUUAUUGUUUAAUCAUAUAGAGUUUGGGAAGAUGAAAAAGUCCUGGAGAUGGACAGUGGUGAUGGUUGUACAAUAAUGUGGAUGUACUUAAUGCCACUGAACGGCACACUUAAAAUGGUUAACAUGGUAAAUUUUAUGUUAUGCAUAUUUUACAACAAUAAACUAGUAAAUACACAGGUCCUGUUUAUUCUUUUUUUUUUUUUUUUUUUUUUUGACGAGUCUCACUCUGUUGCCCAGGCUGGAGUGAAGUGGCACAAUCUCAGUUCACUGCAACCUCUGCCUCCCAGGUUCAACUGAUUCUCUUGCCACAGCCUCCUGAGUAGCUGGUAUUACAGGUGCCUGAUACCACACCCAGCUAAUUUUUACGUUUUUAGUGGAGGCGGGGUUACCCCAUGUUGCCCAGGCUGGUCUCAAACUCCUGACGUCAAGUGAUCUGCCCACCUCGGCCUCCCAAAGUGCUGGGAUUACAGGCAUGAGCCACCACGCCUGGCCAUUAAUUUCUUUAUUCAAGUCUUUUACGUCACUUUUUGCUUCUGAGAUGUGACCAAGAUGGGAGUUAACCUUUCUAAAAUCAAUGUAGUAUUUGCAAUUUUCCUUUUUUGGGGAGACAGUUUUUACUUUAGGACCUAAGGGCUUGUGACUGUUAUUUCUCCCUUUUAAAAAUGAGUGUAAAACCUUUGUUUCGUUCAUAAUUUGCACCUUGACUUUCACUUUGUAUAAUGUUAGGUUUAUCACCUCUGCUGUCUUUUCUGGUUUGUAUUUCAUUCACUGCUUCCUUCUGGAAAUAACAUAGUGCUCCUACUAUGUGCCAGGCCUGUUCCAGGUACAGAGAAUAUAGCAGCAAACAAAACAGACCAGAGCUCUAUCCUGGUGGAACUCACAUUCAAGUUCGGGGGAUGGUAAACCAAAAUACAUAGGAAAAAUAAACUUUUGUAUUAUCUGCAUGUUGGACCCUUUGUAAGUCAAAGGUCCUCGCAGAUCCGCAGGCAGGUGGGGAGCAGCAGAAUAUCACGGACACGCGUUAGAAACUUGGGGACCCACCCUCGACCAAGUGAAUUCGCAUCUGUGUUGUAGGAAGGUCCUCAGGUGAUUCACAAACGCAUUCGAGUUUGACUGCGGCAAGGGCUAAGGAAAAAAAAACUAAGCAGUGAAGGGACUGAGGAGGGACUGUGAAUUGCAGGAGCAGAGGUGCUGUGAUUUUAAAACCAGUUGCCAGGGAACAGGGAAGGUCUGGUUUGGAAGAAGGCCCUUCUGUAAGAUCUGAAGGGGGUGGGUAUCCGGGAGAAGCCACAGCAGCAAAUGCGAAGACCCUCGGGCUUCGACGCAGGGACCUGCUGUUCAGAGAGGCUGGGGCAGAGCCAGCUAGGGGCAGCGUGGUCCCUGGUGCAGCCGGCUCGUUUUUACCUCGUCUGUGCUCUGUGUUUGGGGUGUGUCCUGCGGCACCGUCCCUGAGCGCUGGAACGUGCGCGGCCCCGCAGGGCAGUGCGGCCGGGGAAUGCACCGAGCUGCGCGCUUCCAGCGCCGUCGGUCUGGGGUUUCUGCCAUUCUAACUCCCAAGGCUUUUCUAUUUUGGGCUUAAAAAGAUGCAGAGUCCCCUUUUAUCGGUCAGGCUUGUAGCAGAAGGUUCAGGUCCAAGAGGACCUUUUGGAUUUAGUCCUUUCUGUCGGCUCCCGCAGUCAAAACCCCCUUCCCUUAAACUCCGCCUGCACUCGAGCCGUCUCUCUACACCAUGGAACCUGCACAGAGGCGUCCAGGCCAGUGCACCCGAGCCGGGGCAGACGGAGAACGCCCCUGUGCUCACCCUGCCCUCGGCCUUGCGUGGGGAAGAAGCUCUGGGUCUGACCCUGGCGAGUCACUGCGUCUCCCGACGCGCGCUGCUCCCUCUGCGAAAGGGGGAAAUAUCAGCGGCCCAGCUGGGUGGUUCUGACCCAAGUGGGGUCACUUCUAGGGAAGCUGCUGUGGCCAGAAAGCACUGCACAAGAGACUAAGUGUAGCGCGCCGCCCUCGGCUAAACCACGGCUGUGCGGACCACCCUGGACCCGCGCCCCGAUCUUCUGCUUUCUUCUGCACAGGGAGUUGUGAGGUUGCUACACCCCCGGGUCUGGAUUCCGCACCCGCAGCGGCCCCCGCACGGUGACCACAUACCAGGGACUCGACCGAGCAUCUCCAGCCACAGGAUUCCCCGGGGGAGCGUCCCCGAGCGGAGGAGAGGAGCGAUUGGCUGGGAGGGAGGUGGGACGAGCGGUUACGCCGGCG
rnacentral:lncRNA from 1 species